rnacentral:rRNA from 1 species
GACGAACGCUGGCGGCGUGCUUAACGCAUGCAAGUCGAACGGAAAGGCCCUGCUUUUGUGGGGUGCUCGAGUGGCGAACGGGUGAGUAACACGUGAGUAACCUGCCCUUGACUUUGGGAUAACUUCAGGAAACUGGGGCUAAUACCGGAUAGGAGCUCCUGCUGCAUGGUGGGGGUUGGAAAGUUUCGGCGGUUGGGGAUGGACUCGCGGCUUAUCAGCUUGUUGGUGGGGUAGUGGCUUACCAAGGCUUUGACGGGUAGCCGGCCUGAGAGGGUGACCGGCCACAUUGGGACUGAGAUACGGCCCAGACUCCUACGGGAGGCAGCAGUGGGGAAUAUUGCACAAUGGGCGGAAGCCUGAUGCAGCAACGCCGCGUGCGGGAUGACGGCCUUCGGGUUGUAGACCGCUUUCGCCUGUGACGAAGCGUGAGUGACGGUAAUGGGUAAAGAAGCACCGGCUAACUACGUG